UAGUAUAACGGAACCUCUACAAUGUUAUAUAGUAUCAGUUUCUAAUAUAACGUCUCGUUCUGCCCGUAAGCCUAGCUAUCGUACACCCGACGGAUAACUGCGGGUGGCUCGCCGAUCAGUCUUUCGGGACCGGCAACUUCAAUGUUCUCAUCAUGAUGUAGGCCUAUACCGGCAGUGUCCAGGGAAAGUUGAACACGUUUCACGGAUGGCCAGUUUCUCAUACAUGCAGCCGACAGGGGGCCGCCGUCUCUGUGAGAACCGGGAGUUCAGCUAUUGAAGGACCUUGAAGGUUUGACAGAGACGGAUGUGGACAGUCUAGCCAUUGCUUUCUGGACUUAGCAGAUAAUGGACCACCCAUCUUUACACAUUUCUCAACACAUAACCAAAGUUAUGAAGGGCUACUUUUUUCUAGCUUGGGACCUUACUGAUAAAGACAUGAAAAAGGGGCGUUGGAAACAAUUUGAAAGUGGUGUGGCCAUCGGCCGACUAUCCGAGCACAAAAGGCGAGGGCCCAGGGUCUGCCAAAGCCCCGGAAUUGGGAUGCUAGACGAUUGAAG